UUCCUUAACUCCACACAGAAACAAGGUCUCUCGGCUCACUUGGAUUACGGGUUCAGUCAUUUCUAAGCAUUUCCUGCAGCCUCAGAAACUCAAUAGUCAAUUAUUUCCACGAGUACAAAGCUUAAAGAUGAAGAGAACAAGAGAGGGAAGGGUAAAAGGACACCAAAGGGCCAUUUUCACUUGCUCCUAAAUAAUGUGAAUGAUAUUAAAUCUGCUCUAAAUGGUACCAGAAUGCAUUUAUCUUACCCCAUCUUUGUGUCAAUUGCCCAGUCAAUGUAUUUUGCCUGAAAUGUAAUCAUUCUUGACUCCUUCAUAUCUUUCAACCCCCAAUCAAUUAAUCCAAUAAACAUUUAUUGAGGCAUUUGUAUGUACAGGUGCUCUUCCACUUAUGAUGUGGUUACCUUCUGAUAAACCCAUCAUACAUUGAAAAUGCCGUAAGUUGAAAAUGCAUUUAAUACACCUAACCUACCAAACAUCAUAGCUUAGCCUAGCCUACCCUAAACAUGUGCAGAACAUUUAUAUUAGCCUAUGGUUGGAAAAAUCAUCUAACACAAAACCUAUUUUGUGAUAAAGUAUUGAAUAUCUCAUGUAAUUUUUUGAAUACUAUACUGAAAAUGAAAAACUGAAUGGUUGUAUGGGUCCCUGAAGUACAGUUUCUACUUACAUGUAUUGCUUUCACAGCACUGUAAAGCUGAAAAAUUUAAAUCGAACCAUGAUAAGUCAACGACUGUCUGUACAAGGUAACAUACAAAAGCCUCUGAUAAAGAAAAUACUGGUAGAACAUCGUCCCUGAUUUUGUAUGAUCCUGAGGGGGAGGUUGACACAUAUACAACUUUGAAUAAAACCCACACAAUACCUAAUAACAGAGGGCAAAGAACCAUGAAAGUAGAGUCAAGGGGAGUGAAAAUUCCACUCACUUUGUUUACUGUGAUUAAUUCUCAAGUUGUUCGUAAUCCACUAAAGUCAACUGACCCAUGGGGUGAAGUGGUAUUCAGUUAAUGAGUCAAUUCCCUGCAACCUUUCAACAAUAUGGGGCACCAAAGCCCUGAAUGUAUAAGAGUGGGCCUUUCUGAAUACAUUCUGUGAAAAUUUUAUACCCCAAUCUGAUUUAUAUCAUAUCAUGUUAUGUAACAAAUAAUUAGCUACAAAUAUAUCCAUGGCACAAGGCUUGUUGCUUUUGCCCCUGAAAAGAAACCGUAUCAUAAUUGCUAGGUAUCCUUGGUGAUUAUUCAGAAAAUCUUUGAACUUGCCUUUCACAAAAUAGAGAGGGGCAUUCUCUUGACAUUGUGUGAUGUUUUGCCUCUUAUUGCAAGAAUGCAUUGCAUGCUCCCUGAAAUAUUUUAGCAGUCCCAACUCUUCCAAAUUGUUCAAUCCCUAUAUGACAAAGCAAAAUAAUUUAAAUAUUGUUUCAAUAAUAAAAGUUUACCAAAAUAUCUUGCAUUAUUUGUAUUAAAAGAAAAAAUCCAUAAAACAUGUAUUGAACCUUAUUUGAAAUAACAUGCCACAAACAAUUUCUCUGACAACUCAAGCCUGUUCUAUUCAAGCAGGCUCUCAAGAC
rnacentral:lncRNA from 10 species